rnacentral:lncRNA from 1 species
UACUACAUUAGAUACUCUUACCUCUACAUUAGAACUCUUACUCUACAUAGAUACACGACUAUACAUUAGAUAUCUUACCUCUACACUAGAUUCUUACCACUACAUUAGAUACUCUUACCACUACAUUAGAUACUCUUACCUCUACAUUAGAUACUCUUACCUCUACAUUAGCUCUUCUAGCUCCUCUUACCUCUACAUUAGAUACUCUUACCUCGACAUUAGAUACUCUUACCUCGACAUUAAGAUACCUCUUACCACUACAUUAGAUACUCUUACCUCUACAUUAGCCUUCUAGCCUCCUGCUUACCUCUCAUUACGAUACUCUUACCUCUACAUUAGAUAGUCUUAACAUCUCUGAAUU